AACAAUCGUACUUAAUUUUCAUGAAAAUUAAAUAAGCCCGGCGCCCGGAGGCAGACGGGCUUAUACGCUAGUAUUUGUAUAUACUAAACAUGUACUGUCAACUGUGUAUUUAAAUGCAUGGACUAGGUCGUAAAACCUUGUGACACCAGUUUAUUAUCUUUUACUCCGUGUAAAUGAGCUAAAAUGAAGUAUCAUCAUGAGUUACUCGUUAAAUCAUGAAAGUGGGGUCGGGUCAUCUUUCUGCUGAAUAUGCAGAGUGAUCUUUCUCACUUAUUUACCAGACCCGAUUGUAAUUGAUGUACAAACAAAACAUGCAAAACCUGGUGGAAAGAAGCUCAUGAAAGCUUAUGAAAAACUAUGAUUUAUUUUCUAUAUAUAUACCGCACUCUUCAGGUAUCGAAAGCCAGUUAUUCUUGCGUAGAUGACAAAUUUUAAAAUUAAUUUGAACUUUUCAAGUUUUACACUGUCCGAGAAAAUGGUAAGCUUGAAUCUUUAUAUUUACAUGUUUCAACAGUGUGUACACAUUUCUGUGAAAUUUACUGAUUUAUUAUGUACAGAAAGUUCAAGUUGUUCUAGUUCUGGUGGCCUUGGUCGGUUCAUUGGGUACGGUAAACGGAGGACCACUUCUUGGGGGUACUUGCGCGAUAGCAUGUUCCAUAGCGUAUGCAGCAUGUAUCGCUGGAGGUGCACCUGUCACUGCAAUGGUGGCAGCAGGACCUUGCACUAUUGCUUACACAGCUUGUUUGCAAGCAUGCGGAGCUGGCACUGUUCUACCCACGCCUUGACAUGGAUUUUAUUAACCGAUGUCGUUCUGGACUUCUGAAUGGAUCAAAAAAAUGGAAUUGCAUUUUGAGACGUAUUUAUGCAUGAAUGUAAGAAAUCGCAUGACUAGAAAUUGAUGAUCAUGUGUGGAUCACCAAUGUUAAAUCAGACAAAUAUUUUACAAUAAUGCAGCUUUAUUGUGCAUUUGUUUAUAAUAUUCAUCAUACAAAAGCACAAUUUUCUCCGGAGUAAUUUGUAGGUAAAACUAGUGCACAUAAAAAUUAACAACAGAGA